GGAAAUUUAUAAGAAUAAAUUUCCUUAUAAAUAUAUUUUUUCGAUAAAAUUGUGCAAUUUUUUAAAUAGUUGUCCAAAGGAAAGCAAAAUGUGACUUUGUAAAUCCAAAAAAAUUGCCAUUGAAAAGUUAGAAUAGAAUUUUCAUGUGUUACUAAUUAAAUAAAAAUAUUAAAUUCUAAGCUUAUGCUUACAAAAAAGAGACCUUUGGAUUACUCUUAUGUAUGAGAUGGAAAAUAUCAAAAUUAAUUUUAUUCUGGAAUUCAUUUGUAAUGAAUUUUGAAUAAUCACCAGUAUGACUCUCUUGCACGCAGGGACAGAUGCCUCUCGAACUACCCAACUGCUCGAGAUGAUAGCUUAAUAUUUUUAAAAUAGUAAAUAUUUGAUUACCUCGCAAUCAAUUCAAAUAGUUGAUUUAACAAUUUUAUUCUCACUUAAAUAUAUAUUUUAAAAAAAUUACCAUGAAUUGACUGUUUAUUUACAAAAUAAACCUGUUUUAGGUUUCUUUUCUAACCCCACUCCUCUUUAGCUAUUUUUGAAAAGUUUUGACACAAAAAUAUAAUUAUCCAACCAUAAUUCUCUUUUAUCAAUUCUAAUAUUUUUUUUUCUUUUCUAAUAUUUAGGUUAUAUUCUUGAGAACCUUCCGUCUGAAAAGCAUAGCUGGACUCCAAAAAAAAAAGGGUCUGUUCUGCUCUUCUAGUACUGUUGAAAGAUCAAUCCCCAGAUGUGAGAAUCAGAGUAGCUGAAGCAUUGAGCUUAUUACACCAUUAUUGAGUUUAGACGACUUCCUUUGUUUGUUUUGCCUACAAGAACUGAAGAAAAAAUGUGCAUGCAGCCUUUUUUUUAAAACAAGAAAACACAGCACACAUAUAUAUUUAUAUACAGUUUUCAAUGUGUUGUGAGAUUAUUGUUAGAACAUGGAAUACCAAUGGAUAUUGGACUUUCCACGAUGAUCACAAAUUCCAAUUUUUUGACUCUUGUAAAAAAUUUAAAUUUCCGAAUUUUUAUUGUGUGAUUUUUUUAAAUUUAAUUGUCAUUAUUAAAUGUUAAGUUUAUUAUUGUUGAUUUUAUUAUUCCGUUACAAAUUUUAUCUUUCCACUAUGGGCUCUCUGCACUUCCCUGUGAUUGCUAUACGAUCAUUUUUUUUCCUUCCUAAAGAUAAACAGAUUGCUACAUCACAAAUUAAAAACUAUCCUGAAAGAUAUGAAUAUAUUGUAUUUGACACAUAUUUCGUUGCCUAUUCUGUUGGGACAAAAUUGAAACCUGAUCAUUUUGUUCAGUUAUCAUUGGAACUUCAUUUACAACUUUGUUUUUAUAAUUCCUCAUACUGUUGGGAUGAAAUUGAAAUCUGAUAAUUUUGUUUGGUCACUGUUGAAACUUCAUCGACAACCUUUUUUUUAAAAAAAAAUUCCUGUUUCAUGAUUAGUUAUUAUAAAAACUUUUAUUAUCUGUUUAUUACCCAAAAUAUUUAACAACUAUGUGAAAAGUUAAUUUUUAAUGUUUUACAAUUUUGUAUUAAUUAUUUUUAUUGCAUUUUUUGACUGGUAUGGUUUAAUGUAAAACAUAUUAUGAAGGCGAAUGUAACUUAUUUGUUACUUUAUAAUUGCAAACGUAGUUACAUAACGUUUUGAAUAUGUUUAUUAUUAAAUGUUUUACACAUCUAA
rnacentral:lncRNA from 1 species